UUAGCGAGAGUAAGGUGAGAAUCCUUACGGCCGAAUAUCCAAGGUUUCCAGGGUAAAGCUGAUCUGCCCUGGGGAAGUCGGGACCUAAGGCGAGGCCGAGAGGCGUAGCCGAUGGACAACAGGUUGAGAUUCCUGUACUACAGUAUGACAGAACUGUGGGGACGCAGAAGGAGAGCACUACCUGGAAUGGAAUCCAGGGGCAAGCACAGGAGGGGUACGGCUGGAAAAACCGCCGUGCAACCCAAAGGUGUGACGCAUACCGAACUAAAGUAGGGAAAUGUGUGAGCCGGCUGCCGAGAAAAGCCGCUAUUGUUUGUACUGUACCCGUACCGUAAACCGACACAGGUGGAUGAGGAGAGAAUCCUAAGGCCGACGGAAGAAGCAUUGCUAAGGAACUCGGCAAAAUGACCCUGUAACUUCGGGAGAAAGGGUGCCUCGAAAGAGGCCGCAGAGAAUAGGCCCAAGCAACUGUUUAGCAAAAACACAGGUCUAUGCAAAACCGCAAGGUGAAGUAUAUGGGCUGACGCCUGCCCGGUGCUGGAAGGUUAAGGGGAGAUGUCAGGAGACGAAGCAUCGAACUUAAGCCCCAGUAAACGGCGGCCGUAACAAUAACGGUCCUAAGGUAGCGAAAUUCCUUGUCGGGUAAGUUCCGACCCGCACGAAAGGCGUAAUGAUUUGGGCGCUGUCUCGGCAAUGCAUCCGGUGAAAUUGAAGUGCCGGUGAAGAUGCUGGCUACCCGCGCCAGGACGGAAAGACCCCAUGGAGCUUUACUCCAGCUUGAUACUGGGAUUCGGUAUUGUAUGUACAGGAUAGGUGGGAGGCUGAGAAAUGGUGACGCCAGUCGCCAUGGAGUCGCUGUUGGGAUACCACCCUUGCAUUACUGGAUUUCUAACCAGCAGCCGUGAUCCGGCUGGGGGACAAUGUCAGGUGGGGAGUUUGACUGGGGCGGUCGCCUCCGAAAGGGUAUCGGAGGCGCUCAAGGGUUCCCUCAGAAUGGUCGGAAACCAUUCGAAGAGUGCAAAGGCAGAAGGGAGCUUGACUGCGACACCGACGGGUGGGGCAGGUACGAAAGUAGGACUUAGUGAUCCGGUGGUAUUAAGUGGGAAUGCCAUCGCUCAACGGAUAAAAGCUACCCUGGGAUAACAGGCUUAUCACUCCCAAGAGUUCACAUCGACGGAGUGGUUUGGCACCUCGAUGUCGGCUCAUCGCAUCCUGGGGCUGUAGUAGGUCCCAAGGGUUGGGCUGUUCGCCCAUUAAAGCGGUACGCGAGCUGGGUUCAGAACGUCGUGAGACAGUUCGGUCCCUAUCCGGCGUGGGCGUAGGAUAUUUGAGAGGAGCUGACCUUAGUACGAGAGGACCGGGCUGGACUGACCUCUGGUGCACCGGUUGUCAUGCCAAUGGCACAGCCGGGUAGCCAAGUCGGGAAGGGAUAAACGCUGAAGGCAUCUAAGCGUGAAGCCCCCCUCAAGAUGAGAUAUCCCCCGCAUAAGCGGUAAGACCCCUUGAAGACGACGAGGUAGAUAGGGCAGAGGUGGAAGUGCAGUAAUGUAUGGAGCUGACUGCUACUAAUAGGUCGAAGGCUUACC
rnacentral:rRNA from 1 species